CCUCCGAGCCUUUUUCCCAAACUAUGUUGGGGUCGGCUUCCAGUCUAACCGGAUUCAGCUGAGUACCAGUGCUUUACAAGAAGCAACUGCCUAUCUGACCUCCUCAACCCAGUUACCCGGGCAACCCGAUACUCCUUGGUUAGACUGGUGUCAGACUUACUGGCUUCUGACUACCCGUAACGACUGCCAAGGAUGUUCAAUGACAGCCGGGACCUACAGUUUAACGUGCCAUCCGAAACACAGUCAUUGCGUCUAAGAUAUACUUAGAAAGUACAUACAAACUUAGAAAAGUUGCAUUGGUACUUGCCUGACCUGGAAUCGAACCCGCGCCCUCAUACUCGAGAGGUUGGUUCUUUGCCCACUAGGCCACCACGAC
rnacentral:lncRNA from 1 species